rnacentral:rRNA from 1 species
UACGUAGGGGGCAAGCGUUAUCCGGAAUUACUGGGUGUAAAGGGAGCGUAGGCGGCAAGGUAAGUAAGAUGUGAAAGCCCGCAGCUUAACUGCGAGGAUUGCAUUUUAAACUAUCGAGCUAGAGUACAGGAGAGGUAAGCGGAAUUCCUAGUGUAGCGGUGAAAUGCGUAGAUAUUAGGAAGAACACCAGUGGCGAAGGCGGCUUACUGGACUGAAACUGACGCUGAGGCUCGAAAGCGUGGGGAGCG